AGCUCAGCCCCGGCAGGGCUCCCGGCUCCAGCCCACUGGGAGCUCGCGGCGCGUCGCCGCCCAGCUAGGCUUCGGUUCACGGGCCCAUGCAAUGGGCCGAGGCAGGGCCCAGAAAUGGGCAUUUCUUGAGCCGGCAGCGUUAAGCGCCCACUGUGUGCAAGGAACGCGAGGGCAGGGCGCCGGGCUGGGGCCGAGGCCAGGAAGCAUUUGGCGGGUGCUCUGUACGAUGCUCCCUAGCGAGGCCGAUGGAGAGUGGGCUGGUUUAUCAAGCCCUACUGUGUGCAGAGGUUUCGGGUGCCAUGUGUUCAUCAGCUGUGUGCCAGCUCUGUGCUGUGCGCCCAAAGAGGAGAAACGUCGAGCCUGCCCCGCAUCCUCCCCAGCUCAUGUUCUCCCGGUGGCGAGGACAGUAAACUAAUGAAAAUGACAACUAGGGUCACUAUGAGAUUUGCUGAGCGCUUAAUAUCUGUCAGGUGCUGGACCAAGAGCUAGACGAGCAACAUUUAUUUGACUCUUAAACACCAAUGGUAUUGCCUCCUCAGAGAGCCCCACCACCACCACCCUGCUCAAAGGUGCCCCCUCCUCCAGUCACUGUGACAUCACCCUGUUUUGUCUUCACAGCGCUUCUGGUGGGGAUUGAGCUUGCAGUCCCUGUCUCUCCUAUCAGAGAGCAAGCUCCUGAGGGCAGAGAACAGCUUUGUUUACAGCAGGGCCCCCGUGCCAGGAUCGGGGCUGGAACAUGGUAGAAGCUCAAUAAAUGCUUGAUGAAUGAAUUAAGGCUCAGCCAGAUGCGUCUAAUACUUCGGCAGAUAAAUGACAGCAGCAGGGAUUUACCCCAGGUCUAACCGACAACAAAGUAUGCAAUAAUU
rnacentral:lncRNA from 1 species